rnacentral:rRNA from 1 species
GAGGCACGAAGGAUGGGGGAGCGAACAGGAUUAGAUACCUUGGUAGUCCCAGCAGUAAAUGAUGUGAGUUGAUGUGGUGGGAUUCGACCCCUUCCGUGUCGAAGCUAACGCGAUAAGCUCACCGCCUGAGGAGUACGGCCGCAAGGAUAAAACUCAAUGAAACUGACGGGGACCCGCUCAAGCGGUGGAGUAUGUGGCUUAAUUAGAUGCAACGAGAAGAACCUUACCUGGCCUUGACAUGCAUUGUGUCGUCGGUGAAAGCAGGGUAGUCCGGGAAACAGGACGCUUAACACAGGUGGUGCAUGGAUGUCGUCAGUUAGUGUCGUGAGAUGUUGGGUUAAGUCCCGCAACGAGCGCAACCCUUGUGGUCAGUUACUAACCGGCUUAGCCGGUGGACUAUUGCCAGAGUGCCCUGUCAAAUGGGGAGGAAGGUGGGGAGGACGUCAAGUCAUUAUGGCCCCUAUGGCCAGGGGUGCACACCUACUACAAUACCCGGUACAAUGUGAACCGAAACCGCGAGGUGGAGGAAAUCGUUCUUGAAAACCGGGCCCAGUUCGGAUUGGAGUCUGCAACUUGACUCCAUGAAGUUGGAAUCGCUAGUAGUGGCGUAUCAGCAACGACGCCGUGAAUACGUUCCCGGGUCUUGUACACACCGCCCGUCACAUCAUGGAAGUCUCCUGUACCCGAAGCACGUGCGCCAACCUUUCAGGAGGCAGCGUUCGAAGGUAUGGGAGGUAACUGGGAUGAAGUCGUAACAAGGUAACCAAGGGCGAA